UCGGAUUUUACACAGGUGGUUGGAUGUUACACUCUGGAAAUGGAAGGAAGCAAAAUUUAUGUCCCGCAGUUUCAUGACGACUCUUCAGGGAUGCUGAGGCUGUUCACCAGUUGCUGAAGCCAUUAUUGAUGGUGAUGGGGAAGACUUUUGAAGAACCGGUCAUCUUGGGCUUUCUUGAGGACGAGCACUAAUACCAUCAGCAAUGCUAGCAUCCUCAGUGGGUCCCCUUCUUCAUAUCCAUCAUCAGGCUUUGCCUUUCCCAGUUUAGAUCCCCAAUGCUCCUGACAUUUUUGUUAAUUGUUGUAAAAGUUCACUCUCACUUUUAGGUUUCCAUAACUGAACGUUUAUUGAUGAAAAAACUAACCCUUACGCGCGUUGCUAAAGCUAAGUAGGCUAGCUAAAAAUCGCACAGUGGCUAACAGGAAGUCAGCGGAAGGACACAAGUUCAAGGCUGCACCUUAUGGCUAAUCAGAUCUUUUUUGUUCCUUUAGUCUAAAACUAUUUUUUAAUAAUGUAUCUUUGUUUUUAUAAAUUAUAGUAUUCACUGUAAACAUUAAAAUUAUAAUAAUAAACUGCAAACAAUAGGGGGUGCUACAGCACACAUGUGCCCCUUGAAUUCACAGGUGUAACUAUUUUUUCCAAUGAUCAUAGAUUUUCUAACUUGUAAGUCAUUCUUUCAAAUCUGUAUUGUCAAUAAAGUU